CUAAUGUCGCAUUCAAAGAAAUUUUUAAAAAUUAUUUCAAAUAUUGGGGUUCAAUUGUCGGUGGAGUUCUUCUGUCGGCAACUCAGCCAAACUAGCAACUACCAAUUACCCUUGUUAGAUGUCGCUGGCAUCGCUUUGUUUUCUUGUCACGUCAAAAGUUCUUGCUGCUUUUCAUGCUGCUUUCUUCGUGAUUUUCUUUAUGUUUUGGGAAUAAAUUCAACGCCGUUUAAAAUGAGAAAACGUGUUGAAAGCGUCGUGCAGCUUACUGCUGUCAACCAUUUAUGUGUUCAAAAUCAUUGUAUUCUACUGAAGGUGGCAUCAAAAUGAAACAGGAUUCAUCAUAAUUGUCUGCUGUUUGUAUUGGACUUGCUAAAUCGCCAAUCCCAGCCAUGCCCUGAUUUUGAGUGUUCUUCAUUACAGGUUUCUAACACAUUGGCAUGACAGAUUUGAUGAGAAGUCAUAUUUAGAAGGAAAAGGACAAGAACCAUACAGUCAACAAGGUUCCUUGUUUGCUAACCCGUUGGCUGCUACCCUUCAAUCUCCCUGUUUACUUUCUUACACAGGUCCUAUUGAUUUGAGGGUAACUCUUUCGCUACUGAUGACAUCAACUGUUAUAAACUGACGAGAGAAUGCUGCAAUUCAAGACUGAUGCAUUGUGUAGUUGUUAGAUAAAUUGCAAGUGCAUAUCUGGGCUCCCUUCUUUUCUGUGGCCCCGUUUCCC
rnacentral:lncRNA from 1 species